rnacentral:misc_RNA from 1 species
GUGAAGAACGCAGCGAAAUGCGAUAAGUAAUGUGAAUUGCAGAAUUCAGUGAAUCAUCGAAUCUUUGAACGCACAUUGCGCCCCCUGGUAUUCCGGGGGGCAUGCCUGUCCGAGCGUCAUUACAACCCUCAAGCUCAGCUUGGUGUUGGGCCCCGCCGCCCCGGCGGGCCCUAAAGUCAGUGGCGGUGCCGUCCGGCUCCGAGCGUAGUAAUUCUUCUCGCUCUGGAGGUCCGGUCGUGUGCUCGCCAGCAACCCCCAAUUUUUUUCAGGUUGACCUCGGAUCAGGUAGGGAUACCCGCUGAACUUAAGAAUAUCAAUAAGCGGAGGA